AAUCAACGCUGGCGGCGUGCCUAACACAUGCAAGUCGAACGCGAAAGAGUGCUUCGGUGCUUGAGUAGAGUGGCGAACGGGUGAGUAACGCGUGGGUUACCUGCCCUGCAGCGGGGGAUAACUCGGGAAACCCGGGCUAAUACCGCAUAAGCCUUACGAGGGAAAGCCUUCGGGUGCUGCAGGAGGGCCCGCGUCCGAUUAGCUGGUUGGUGAGGUAAAGGCUCACCAAGGCGUCGAUCGGUAGCCGGUCUGAGAGGACGGACGGCCACACUGGGACUGAGACACCGGCCCAGACUCCUACGGGAGGCAGCAGGUGGGGUAAUUUUGCGCAAGUGGGGGAAACCCUGACGCAGCAACGCCGCGUGGAGGAAGAAGGCUUUCGAGUCGUAAACUCCUGUUUACAGGGACGAAGAAAGUGACGGUACCUGUGGAGGAAGCCCCGGCUAACUCCGUG
rnacentral:rRNA from 1 species